ACAUUGAAUGUUUAUUGUUUUAACUUCUUGCCCAGGGAAUACGGGCGGAAAGUAGCAAUUGGGCUACAACCUGGUACAAUGCAUCUCUCCUUGUUCUUAUACAAGGUGGUAGACGACUAA